rnacentral:rRNA from 1 species
AGUGAACGCUGGCGGUAGGCCUAACACAUGCAAGUCGAACGGCAGCACAGUAAGAGCUUGCUCUUACGGGUGGCGAGUGGCGGACGAGUGAGGAAUACAUCGGAAUCUACUUUUUCGUGGGGGAUAACGUAGGGAAACUUACGCUAAUACCGCAUACGACCUACGGGUGAAAGCAGGGGAUCUUCGGACCUUGCGCGAUUGAAUGAGCCGAUGUCGGAUUAGCUAGUUGGCGGGGUAAAGGCCCACCAAGGCGACGAUCCGUAGCUGGUCUGAGAGGAUGAUCAGCCACACUGGAACUGAGACACGGUCCAGACUCCUGCGGGAGGCAGCAGUGGGGAAUAUUGGACAAUGGGCGCAAGCCUGAUCCAGCCAUACCGAGUGGGUGAAGAAGGCCUUCGGGUUGUAAAGCCCUUUUGUUGGGAAAGAAAAGCAGCAGGUUAAUACCCCGCUGUUCUGACGGUACCCAAAGAAUAAGCACCGGCUAACUUCGUG